GAAAUAGUGAUUAAUGCGAUCUAGAAGACCAUUAUUUCAAAUAAUACUUUUCUCACUAUAAGUCUAUUUAUUCUUUGGUUCUUAGCAGAGAUAGUGGCUUCUUGGUUGGUGUGUGUUCUCUUAUUCUCACAUUAUUCAACAGAAUGUCAUUUAAGUGUCUAGAUAAUCCUGGGAUUUGGAAGCAAAGGUGACCCAAGCUCUAGAAGGCCUCACCAUGAUGGAAAAAUCUAAAGUUUCCACCUGUGAGGCCCAUGCUCCUGCCAGUUCCAGUGCUGACACUUCACAAAUCGAGCAUUUACAGACAAAGGUAGGCCCAGGCCCAGCUUUGGUCCUGCUAGGAUUUCUGGGAAGGCCAGUUUGGUACUUGUGUUUUGCAUUUUUUAUCUUACUGUCUUUCUUUUCUUUUUUCUUCACACAGCUGGUCUGUCUUCUUGGUUUCCAUUGGCAAAUGUCAUACUAGAAAUCUCUUAUCCUCCUUUUCCUAGGCAAGUCCUUUUUGGAAAAAUGUUUGCUUCAAGGAUCCGUAGGUUCAAUAGAUUAAGCUCCUUGUAGUCACCUUUUUAAUGAUGGAUGAACUUUCUCCUUUCUGAGUCCCCCUAGUCUUUGGAUGGGCCAAUAUAUCCUUUCUCUUAGUCACUACUACAGAGGACCUUUACGGGCUCUCUGCUGUGCUCCGAUGAAGAACUAAAGGUGGUUUUUGGGUUUAUUUUCUGUUAGGAUUGCUUCAUGAACCACCUCCAAUAAGUCUUCUCCAGGGAACUGGUAUUUACCUUAUCGACAGUGAGACUCUCAACAUCACUGGCAAUGAUUUUGCACAGUGCAUGUCAAUACAUUCUCAAUAUUCUACCAUUUCAAAAAGAUUUACUGGCCAAGCUGAGAAGGUUCUUCCAUUGAGUAUCUCCUUGAUAUAGGCAAAGAUCAUUUCUAAAAUACUAGAUUAUCAUCUGCUUCUGCCAGAAAGCUGCCAUGGCCCCAUCCCUACACUUAACAGUAAUACACUAAAGCCCACAAGGAAAUCCCACCUACUUUCUCCUCUCCUUUUUUUCCCUGUUCUGGGCCAAAUCCGCUGCCCAAGUGCAAUGACAAUGGAAGAUAAUGCAUGCUUCGAGGGUUCCCAGUGCCACUGCUAUCAUCAUAUGGGUAACUGACAUACUAUUGAUCCCUCCACAGCUAUGGAUAAGGGUGCCAUAUUCUUGAAUUUUGAUGGAUCGCAUUAGGGAAGCCUCCAAAUGUUCUGGGGAUUAAUUUAAGAAGCACAGUGACUCCAGAAGUAGGAAAUGCUUGAGGACUUCAUCUACAUGGAACCUCUCUUCCCCUUGGAUUCUGCUCAGUACGCCUUACAUGAGACUGACGUGGCCCCUGCCACUCCCCUCCUCUGAGCUGCACACAGAGAGCUCUGCAGGGGUAUACUAGAGAGUGGUCAGUAAAGAACAGAGACUGGCUGGUAGAAUCAUCCUUUA
rnacentral:lncRNA from 1 species